AUUGAACGCUGGCGGUAGGCCUAACACAUGCAAGUCGAGCGGUAACACAGGGAGCUUGCUCCCGGGUGACGAGCGGCGGACGGGUGAGUAAUGUCUGGGAAACUGCCUGAUGGAGGGGGAUAACUACUGGAAACGGUAGCUAAUACCGCAUAACGUCGCAAGACCAAAGAGGGGGACCUUCGGGCCUCUUGCCAUCAGAUGUGCCCAGAUGGGAUUAGCUAGUAGGUGGGGUAACGGCUCACCUAGGCGACGAUCCCUAGCUGGUCUGAGAGGAUGAACGACACAACUGGAACUGAGGCGCGGUCCAGACUCCUACGGGAGGCAGCAGUGGGGGAUAUUGCACGAUGGGCGCAAGCCUGAUGCAGCCAUUCCGCGUGUAUGAAGAAGGCCUUCGGGUUGUAAAGUACUUUCAGCGGGGAGGAAGGCGAUAAGGUUAAUAACCUUGUCGAUUGACGUUACCCGCAGAAGAAGCACCGGCUAACUCCGUGCCAGCCGCCGCGGUAAAAC
rnacentral:rRNA from 1 species